UACGGGGGGGGCGAGCGUUGUUCGGAAUUACUGGGCGUAAAGGGUUUGUAGGUGGCCUGCUAAGUCAGACGUGAAAUCCCUCAGCUUAACUGGGGAACUGCGUCUGAUACUGGCGGGCUUGAGGACAGGAGAGGAACGCGGAAUUCCAGGUGUAGCGGUGAAAUGCGUAGAUAUCUGGAGGAACACCGGUGGCGAAGGCGGCGUUCUGGACUGCAACUGACACUGAGAAACGAAAGCCAGGGUAGCAAACGGG
rnacentral:rRNA from 1 species